CACCUCGUCCCCCAAAUCUUCCCCCACCAGCCACCGUCUGCACGGCCGUCGGACCGCCGCGCCGACGCUCCAGGCGCUCGGGCCGCCACGUCCACGCGCCGCCGGGUCCGCCCCCUCCCCGCCGCGCCCAGCCGAGCCGCCCCGGGCCGCCAGCGCGCCACCCGGUCCGCCCCGUCCACACGGGCCGCCGCGCCCAGCCGAGCCGCCUCCACUCCCCUCCACCAUCCCCAAUCACGCCUCCACUCCCCUCCACCAUCGACAACAUUGAAGCCAAUCCCACGAUCCACUCGGACGUCAACUGCUCCUUCCCGACCUGCCUCGAGCCCUCGACGCCUCCCCACCGCUGCGCUCUCACUCCCUGCCCCCACGCGCCACCGCCAUCCCUCCUUCCUGCUACCGUCGUCGUCGUCGCGCCUCACCCUCCUCCAGGUGGAAUGGCUACCAGCAUGAGCGGAUGCAGCCCUAGAUCAAGCCAAUUGAUCUUUCGCGACGUGGGAAGACGCCGGGGCGCUGGACUUGCCGCCUCCCCUCCCGCAUACCUGAUUGUCGGCUAGCGCUCAACGACGAGGGAUACACCGCCGCUGGCCGGGCGAUGUGGUUUUUGUUUUCGGGUUCUAGUGAUUUUACAAGCAGUUGUUUGACCCUACUAAUUUCCGUCGGAUGCACAUAUUUCAGAGAACAGUACUCUUCUUAUGGUUCUACUUGUAGGGAUCCCCGUGGGUUGAGGGCGUCGAGUCAAUGGAGUUGUGUGCGGCCACGGCAACAAAACGCGUGGAGCUGUUCCCAGUAUGGUCGUGCAUUCAUUUUACAGGUUACUUCUGUGUUCCCUGGAUAGGUGUGUUGUGCAGACCUGACAUAGGUUGUGUUGGACACUAGCAAGUGUUCCCUGUCGCACCUGAAAAAAAAUCAUCUUUGAUGCAGAAAGGUUUGCUCUUUCAAAAUCAAUGCAUUUGUUUGUACCAAGCUUAAAAAGGUUUUUUAGGCAAGCUUAAGAGGGGUUGCCUGAAUGUACUGAAACGAUCUGAACAUCAAACUCUUUUUUUGCUUGCUUGGUAGUACAAUCUGCACUACUUAACAAAUCUUCUCAUUUCUUCAGUUAUAGUCACAUCUUUUGAGAAAUCUUGUCAGAGGAACAGAUGAUGGUCUUUACAGAAUUUGAAUCACGGGAGAGUGAUAAAUAGAGGGAUGCUUAAUUUUGAGGAACCAAUGUGCUCCUGGUCUGAUCCAUAUUUCUGAAGGUCUUUUUUGGGUGGUCAUUCAGGGGCUGGACUUCUCCUUCAGGUUAAUGGUAUUCUUUCUCACAUGAAGCAUAGGAUUAUACUACCGGGAAGCACAUGAUGUUGUUCAUGAAUUCGACAGUAAUUUUGGUGAGGAUGUGAAAUCCCUCCUUCUGCUCCUUCCAAUCUCUCAAAUUGAUUUAUUCAUUGUUGUAGCUUUCCUUGAUCUUCUAUUCAUUCCGAUCAAAUUUCUCACCGCUUCUCCUAAUGGUCCACCCAAUUAAUAAGAGAAAAUAGGGAGAAGAAAAAUGUAUGACACAAGAAGAGAUACCUCUAGAAGCAGUGGAAACAGGUCUGCCUUGUAUCUCUUUCAUGACGGAUCUUGAAACUUGUACUGACAAGAGAACGGAGGAAGUGAAGAAAAACACUUCACAUGACAUCGUGAUAAGCUAUAUUCUGUUGUAAACAUGUUUGUAGUACCAUUUAUCAUCAAUCAUUUAAAGUGUCAUUAAGAGUAAAAUGGCAUUCUCUAUGUGCUCUAGGUAAACUUUGAGUGGAUACACAAUUCCUGUUUUUUUUGUAUUUGGUCAAGCAGAAUAAUGUAUGAGAAAAUAAAGCUCUUUCAUGUAUUCGUGUUAUAUGUGGGAAUAUUAUUACUGGUUUUGCUACCAUAACAUGCAAUAUUGCAAGUUUGGCAGAAAUAAGUGACUACUGGUCAGUAUAAUCAUAUGAGGAUAAUAUCGGGGUACAAGAUCCUUUCCUGUUUUUCAUGGAGUUAGAGAACAACAUGGUGUGUUGCAUGUUGCACAUUCAGGAUUGCUACAUGAUUAGCAUGUGAUCUUUAGACAAGUGAAUGUCUAACUGACAUUGUCAAGUGACAGCGAGAAGAAGAACGUUUUAGCUUGUGGAGUAUCUUCCAAGUUAGAUAUACCAUCCCGCAAGGUAUGGGCGUUUUCAAGCUGUCCCUCGAGUUUUUCAUCAUGCUCUGCAAUGAGAUUUUCUACCUCUUCAUGAUCAUUGUCCUGACAAGCAAAGUCCAAGAUGGGUAGAUUGUCGUUCAUUCGCUUCGUAUCUGGGGGAGGAUAUGCAAUAUAGGAAAACUUGACUAAGCUUUGUGAAAUUUUGGUUCCAUUGGGUGACUUUUAUUUUCCUUUGAUGGCUAUGAUGCACAUGUAAAAUCACAUAAUUUGAUCCUCCCGAGUCUGGUAGAUUUGCUACCAAUGGUCGACUUAGCACUUAUCUUGUGCUGCAUAAUUGUUUCAGAUUACCAUCCUUGUACAGCAGCAAAUCAACUAUGUGCCUCUUUUGAGAAGCAAAGAUGUUGAUUGUCCACCUUGAAGGUUAUAGUUGCUAAAGAGUCUACACAGGAGAAAUAUUUUGUCUCACAACUUUCACUUGAUCAGUCUAAGAAUGAAAGGAAGUAUGCAUUAAAUAUACAAAAGUCUUCAUAAGGUUAGCUUAAGACGGUAGUGUCCUAUCUUUAAAUCCUCCAAGAACGCUAGAAACUAAUUUUAUUACUGACUGGACAUAUCUGUCAUGCAUGUUUAGUACCUUGACUCUUUAAUCUUUAUAUAUAGACAAAGCUCUGUAUCGAGAGAUGAAGCGUUUGGGAGCCUGGAUGAAGAAUGCUUCCCAGGCGGAAAAAGAGGAGAACUAUUGAGAAUGCUUCCAAACCACUCAGAUUUUUUGUUCCUUUUUGAGUCGUGGACUCCUUGUUUGAUACAAUACAUCUGAAGAGCCCUUUUUGUGCACUGUUCAAAUAAGCUCUUCAUUUUUGUGAGUCUGGUCAAACAAUGCACUUCAAAUAAUGAAGUUAUUGUCUCGGGGAUACUUAGCCAAAUGUUGUACUUAUCAUCCUAGAUAAUCCAUAUUCAUUAUGUAUAUAUGUAUCAUAUUUCCAUUUAUUUUCUUUCGGGAAUAGCACAUCGUAUUUCCAUGUUUAUGUUCUUUAGUUGUUUGAAUUAAAAAAGGUGUAGAAGAACAAAAACUAUAGAAAAGGGAACACAUUAAAUAGAGGUGGAAUUUGAAAAAUGGAUUGAAUUGCGAGGACGUGCGUUGCACGUGCAUGCUUACUAGUUAAAUAGAAAUGGUAGAAUAAUGUAUUAGGAAUUAUAUGAUUCUAUGUCACAUUUGAAAUAUAUUCACAAUGAAUAGCCAAUACUAUACUUACCGAGAGCUCUCAACAUGAUAACUAUAUCAAUUGUUUUCUCAUCAUUACUUGUCACCCAACUCAUGAGGAUAUCACGCACCAUUUU